rnacentral:rRNA from 1 species
GACGAACGCUGGCGGCGUGCUUAACACAUGCAAGUCGAACGGACAGGCCCUGCUUUUGUGGGGUGCACGAGUGGCGAACGGGUGAGUAUCACGUGAGUAACCUGCCCUUGUCUUUGGGAUAACACUAGGAAACUGGGGCUAAUACCGGAUAGGAGCUCUUGCUGCAUGGUGGGGGUUGGAAAGUUUCGGCGGUUGGGGAUGGUCUCGCGGCUUAUCAGCUUGUUGGUGGGGUAGUGGAUUACCAAGGCUUUGACGGGUAGCCGGCCUGGGAGGGUGACCGGCCACAUUGGGACUGAGAUACGGCCCAGACGCCUACGGUAGGCAGCAGUGGGGAAUAUUGCACAAUGGGCGGGAGCCUGAUACAGCGACGCCCCGUGCGGAAUAACGGCCUUCGAGUGGUAAACCUCUUUCGCCGGUGACGAAGCGAGAGUGACGGUAAUGGGUAAAGAAGCACCGGCUAACUACGUG